rnacentral:rRNA from 1 species
UACGUAGGGUGCGAGCGUUGUCCGGAAUUACUGGGCGUAAAGAGCUCGUAGGUGGUUUGUCGCGUUGUUCGUGAAAACCUGAGGCUUAACCUUGGGCGUGCGGGCGAUACGGGCAGACUGGAGUACUGCAGGGGAGACUGGAAUUCCUGGUGUAGCGGUGGAAUGCGCAGAUAUCAGGAGGAACACCGGUGGCGAAGGCGCUCAUCUGGCCCAAUACUGACGCUGAGGCGCGAAAGCUAGGGGAGCAAACGGG